CCUAGAAUCACAUAGGUUGAAUCAUGUUAGAAUUGACCCCACUUUCCCAACUAACCAGUUUCAUUUCAUUUUCAUUUUUAUCAGAAAAAAAAAAACAUUUAAUUCUCAUCACAGUUGCCAAAAAAUUAAUCCGUCAGAGACUUGAGACUUUGAAAUCAGAAAUGUGAUCUCCCUCUCUCUCUCUCUCUUCUUUUCAAGUUCUCUCCAUAAUCCCUGAGGACUUUGGGAGUAACGGCUCGAGCUCGUCCCAGUUCUAUUCUCUCCGUAAUCCCUGAUCGCUUUGGGAGGUGGAGGGGAAUGAAUCCACUCUGGAACGAGUAAUGGCUCAUGCUCAUCCCAGUUCAGAUUAAAUGAAAUGGAAGGAAAUGAAUAGGAUGAUAACAAGGUGCAUCGAGAAGAUAAAGUAGGUGUGAAUUUUCCGGCUUUGCAUUUUGUUUUCACACAAGAUGAUGCAAAUCUGGACCCUUUUAUUGUAAUGGAAUUCAAAUCAACGGAACAAGCAUAUUCAUUUUAUAAUUAAUAUGCCUGGUCUGUAGGAUUUGACACUAUGAAGAAAAAUACUCGUCGAUCUAGGUGGAGUGGAGAAUUUAUCGAUGCAAAUUUUGCUUGCACUGGAUAUGGAAGCAAGAAAAAGUCAAUUGGAGUCAGAAAGGAACGACCUUGUCAUAAGACAAAUUGCAUGGCUGGCAUGCAUGUGAAAAGAAAAGAAAAUGGGAAUGGGUUCUAGUUGGUUUCAUUGAAGAGCACAACCAUGAUCUUAUUCCAGCCUAAACACAAUACUUUCAGAAUCACAAGCAAAUAGAUCCAAUCACUAAAAACAACAUUGGUAUCUUGCAAGCCUCUGGGAUUCAGACAUAAUUUUUUUGCUGUGUUGUCUAAACAAUGCAUUAGUUACCAAAAUGUCAGUUGUCUUGAGAAGGACUUUAGGAUUCAACUUGAUAAAGAGAAAUGUUUGCCUAAAGACUCAGAGAAGAAAUACUAGUUUCUUUUAUGCCAUUGACUUGAAUGACAAACAAUGCUUGCGAAAUGUAUUUUGGGUUGAUGCAAAAGGAAGGCAUGAUCAAUAUCAAUUUUGGGGAUAUAGUGUGUUUUUAUACAACUCACAAACAAAUACAAGAAUCCCAUUUGCUCUUUUUAUAGGACUGAAUCAUCAAUUUUAGUCCACAUUGCUUGGUUGUGCUUUAAUUUCCGGUGAGUCUACACCGACAUUUUUUUGGCUAAUGCAAACCUGGCGUAGAGCAAUGAGUGGGAUAGCUCCUAAAGUAAUAAUUACUGACCAGGGAAAGGGCAUGAAAGCAGCUAUUGAGGUCUUUCCAAGUUUACUUCUCAUCGACACUGUUUGUGGCAUAUAUUAGGAAAGUUCCCUGAGAAGCUUGGUCUUGCAAACAAGAGGCACACAGAUUUUAUGACCAAAUUUAAUAAGUGUAUUUAUAGAUCAUGGAAAGAAGAAGAAUUUGAAAGUGAAUGAGAGAAACUGCUUUACACAUUUCAACUUAGAGAUGAUGAGUGACUUAAGCAAGGAUUAAA